rnacentral:rRNA from 1 species
CCCCUAGAUGUUCUGGGCCGCACGCGCGCUACACUGAACAGUUCAACAAGUCUUAACCUUGGCCGAUAGGUCUGGGUAAUCUUUGAACGCUGUUCGUGAUUGGGAUAGACCUUUGCAAUUAUGGGUCUUCAACGAGGAAUUCCUAGUAAACGCAAGUCAUCAGCUUGCAUUGAUUACGUCCCUGCCCUUUGUACACACCGCCCGUCGCACCUUCCGAUUGAAUGGUCCGGUGAAAUCUCGGGACGGCGGCUUGGUCGCUUGCGUCCGACUGCUGAAACUUGAUUAAACCAUAUCAUUUAGAGGAAGGUGAAGUCGUANCA